AAAACAUUGCCUUUAGAAAAUAUAUUAAAGGUUAAUCCUGCCCAGUGAUAUUUUCAACGGCCGCGGUACCCUAACCGUGCAAAGGUAGCAUAAUCAUUUGCCUUUUAAUUGUAGGCUAGUAUGAAUGGACUAACGAAAUUCUAUCUGUAUCGUUUUUAUAAAAUAAAAAUUAGAAUUCAGGUGAAGAUACCUGAAUUUAUUUGAAAGACAAGAAGACCCUAUAGAGUUUUAAUGAAUACAAUUUUAUCCAUAAUAAUUUCAUUUUGGUUGGGGCGACCUAGGAUUAACUAAAACAUCCUUUUUUAAAUAGAUAUAUACUUCUUUAUAAAGACCCUGAUUUAUUCAGAUUUUUAAAAUUAACUACCUUAGGGAUAACAGGCUUAUCUUCCUAAAGAGUUCACAUUAACAGGAAGGUCUGGCACCUCGAUGUUGGCUUAGAGUAACCUAUUAACGCAAAAGUUAAAUAAGGUCGGUUUGUUCAACCGUUAAAUCUCUACGUGAUCUG
rnacentral:rRNA from 1 species